rnacentral:ncRNA from 1 species
CACAAAGCAUUGACGAGGAGAAGUAUGUUUGUUUUUUAGGAUAGAGAGUUAUCGGCUGGUGGAAGAUAAUCUGAAAGCAGGCAGAAAGACACCUAAGAGCUGCUUUUCUGAACGAAGUAGGAAAAGCCGGUUUGCGCCGUUAACGAAUGAGUGAUGAGAUGCUCUAGGCAUCUUGUAAGAUGGGUGGUACCGCGGAUUCAACAGUUAUUCGUCCCUAUG